rnacentral:lncRNA from 1 species
UGGAUAUGAUCUUGCUGGCUGUUUGUAUGAAUCGAGACUCAACAUUGCUUAUUUGCUUCUUAGGUUUGCCUUUUAAAAUAGGAACAUGCUUUGAAUAUGGACCAAUUGGGAUCCUUGUAUUUGAUAUUAUACUUGUUGUUCUUCAUUGAUUGGCUGCUGUUUUAGGGAUUUCCUCUUUUGACCUAGGCUAGUCCUAGUGGUCUCAGAGUACUUACCUUUGGUGAUUGUACUUUUCAGGUUUAAAGGAUAAUGAUUAAGGAGAUUUGCUCCACAUUAGGAUUGUGUUACUUUGACAAUAUGACUAAUGUAUUUGUUUUGUAGGUGUUGUUCUGUGAGCUUGUGCUAUGCCCUCAUUAUUUUGUAUUAAUGUUACUGGUUACUUGAUCAUAUAUUGUGCUGUUUUGUUGAAAGUAGAUGCUGAUUCUGUUUGACGUUUGCUACAGGUACCUUAGUUGCUCCAUUCCUUGACGAACUUUUGCUUUGGUUGUUUAAGAACUUGCAUUGGAGGUAGGUCUUCUUGAUUCAUGUAGUCUGGAGACCCGGCUGUGUACCGGGUCCGGGCAAAUUUCUGAAGUGCCUCCUUAGAGGGCCAUGUUGUGUAUGUUAUUUUUCAGCCAAGCAUGAAAGUCCUUCAAGUAAGGCAUGUGUGGAAGGUAGGGCAAGCAAACCUUGCCCCACUAUUCAGUGAGUCUUCUCCUUGCUCAUUACAUGGUUGUAGCAUUGAGAUGCAUUAAGCCAAGACUUGUGCAGUGCACAUUGAGUCAGAGUCAUCGAGUAUAGAAGGGUUCCCCUAUUCGGACCCAUGCUCAUUUGAGCUCUCCAUGGUUGGGAUAAGAGCUGUGAGGUCUGAUCCUCACUUCUCUUUCAUAUGCUUCACUUAGCUCGUAAUGCAAGGUUAGAGAAACACAGCCUGUAACAGGACGAUUGCUUAGGCAGUCAAACCGAUUGAUUGAGCCCCUUGUUUGGCUAUAGUGCGUGUUAUGUGGUAUCUGUUGACAUUGCUUGUUGAGAUACCUGUUCUCAUUUGAUGAUAUAUAUUGUUAUUGCUUGAUGUGCUGCUUCUUUCCUGGUUUAGGUUAGUUGCUUUGCAAGUGAUAGAAAACCGAUUGAGGUUUACGAUGCAUGACAAACAUUAGGCUCGGAGUCUCAGCUCCCUAUUGUUGUAUUCUUUCCCCGGUUUCUCGUUAGCAAUUCAGUGCCCUUUCAGGGGAACUACAUCGCCCUGAGUCCCGUUCCAGACGAGGUAUGUAGGCAGGUGGUCGUGCGAGACCCUCCGGGCAACCUUUUUUCUUAUUUUGCGUGCGUUAACUUGUGUGUCUGAUUGUUUUUUGGCUUCGGAGCUGACGUAAGCCCAGGUGGGGCUUGGUCGGAGGCCUCCACGUUUGCCCUUUGAGUGUGUGUUUGGUUCGAGACGACGUAAUUCCAUCCGUGGUUGUCGGGGCUCCAUGUUGCACCCUUGAUGAUUUGUGCUUGUGAAGCAUCAUCAACAACAAGUGCAAUCGAACUGGAUUACGUUCUCCCCAAAUUAAAGGGCAUGGACAGCCGUCGUGAACCGCCCAAAAGAGCGACUUCAAAUGGCCGCGUGCGUAGCCGAACUACAGUGGCUCUGUUUUGUUCCAGGGACAAAGAUAUGUAGGCAUAAGGUGCAUACCUUAUCGAGGCUCGUUCCUCUUAACCCCACCUCGGCGAUUCCCGGUGUGUGUGUGGAUGUUUAGCACCUUUUCUUAUUCUUAGGACGUGAGAUCCUAGGUACCUAGGACUGAGGGUGCUAAUACCACUUCCCCUUGGCUACCGACUCCCGACCUUUCUCUCUGUCGCCGAGACCAGUGUCUUUCCAGUUUCUCGAGCGUUUCUUUCCCUUUGGGUAAAUAACGGUUUAGGGCGGCUCUGUGUGUUUUAUUUUUAGGCUCGCCGGUUGAUUUUUUCGCAGGAUGCGUCAGAAUCUUGCUUUGAAUAUUAUUUUAGUACAACAAUUUUAGAAAGUUUUAAUGUGGUUUUUUAAUUCAAUUUAGUUAAUCAGGUUGUUUAAAAUAAAUAAUUAAGCUUAAUAAGAUUGAAUAUUUAUUUUAAACACAUAGCGGAAAAAAAGAGGUAGUUUAGUAUUGGAAGUGUGAUAUUCAGUAUUGGAAGUUCAAGAAGUUUACUUCUCGCUAUGGAGUUAUUCACUUUCAUUUGCACAUGAAGUCCUUAGGCUAUUGUUGGUGCAAGCAAAGCUAUAGCCGAGAGAAUAGUGCAGGCUAGGUGGGAGUGUUGCAUGCAAAGGUGUGCACGUGUGAGGCCAUGCGUGGGAAUCUUGCCGAAUAGGUGCAGGCUUGUGGACUUUCGUGAUGCAAGAUGGUGAUCUUGCAGACUGGUUCAGGCUAGGUGGUAGUGUGCAUGCAAAGGUGUGACACAUGUGAGGCAUGCGUGGGAAUCUUGCAGACUUGGUGGUGAUACUUUUGAUGGAUAGGCAUGCGUGGGAAUCUCUGAGACUAGUUCAGGCUAGGUGGAGAAUACAUUUGAUGGAUAGCAGUAGACGUGUCAAUUAUUACAUGCAUGCAGCUCCACCUAGCCUGCAAGAUUCUCAGCAAACUUUGCAUGCGUUGCUCCUACCCAAAUUUUUUGCAGCUUUACACGUGUCCAAGUUUUGCAUGCGUUGCUCUUGGGAGGCUUGGUCUGAAGACAUGCAUGCAAAGAUGUGUCGGAAUCUUGCAGUAUAAAUAUUCACACACAUUUCACAAAGGUAUUCACAAUUCUUCACAGCAUCUUAAAAAUCUUCAUAUAUCUUCACAAUUCUUCACAAAACCUUCACAUAACAUGCAUCUUCAUCACAAUACAAAAUUAAAGCUCACGUCAAUUGGUGAGACUUAUGAAUGUGAUAUGUCUGGCUUCCUUUUUAGAAAACCGAAUGCACUCGUUUUUGUCUAAAUAGAGGAGCUGACUUCUCUUAUCUGAAAAGGAAGAUUGAGUCCAAACUAAGACAACCUGUCCCAAAUUUUUUUCAACAACCUUUUUUCAGAAAAUAACUCUGUUCAAGUUUUAUAAGUCAUUGAUUCAAAUGACAUUGGGAGACACAAUACAUGUUUCGUAACCAUGAGUUAUUCUGGUUACGAUACUAUAGUGUUGUACAUUAUGUUGGAACAAUUUCACAGCUCAGAAUAUUCAGUCACAGGUUAUGAUCUGUGAUUGAUGACGAACAGAUGUUGAGCACCACGUGAAGACGAUGUGGUUGAUGAUGCAAAGACGUGGUUUGAUGACUUGGUGAACCGUGACUCUGAAGACGAAGACCAGUUCAAAUACCUAUAGUGCAACGCUACUCACCGCCUGCGCACUUCACAACCUCUAACUUGGGCGAGGAUGAGCCCUCAUCAGAUAUGUUUCUACAACCAUAUAUGAGGUUGAUGAGGAGUUAAAGAAGGGUGACCCAAUUUCGGACCAAGGAAAGUGUCUGUUAGCAAUAAAGAACUGCGCACUUGAAAACUGUGUUGACUACGAUGUUAUCAUCAAAUCCGGAAAGAUACGUUAUUGUAUGCAAAAAUCCGGAGUGGGGUAUAGGUUGAUGGCAUCGUACAAGAAGAAACAUAAUGCGUGGGUGCAUAUGGUCCAUUUCUCAAGCUCACACUUGCGUCAACACCAACAUGGCACAGGAUCAUCGCAAACUUAGCCAUGAUAUGAUCUGCCAUUCCAAUUACCUCUAGUUGAGGCUGACCCCGUCACUGAAGGUCAACUAUUAUCUCCCAUUGUGUUGGCUGUUUUCAAAUACACCGUCAUACAGAAAGGCUUGGUUAGCGAAAACCAGGCAAUUGACUGGUAUACGGUAAUUGGAGGAUCAUACAAACAACUUCCGCGCUACCUGGCUGCACUACGAUUGUAUUCACCUGGACGGUUUCUAAUAUGGGACUGCCGGCACAAUCCCCUGACGGAACUCGUCUAGAGGUAAUGGAAUAUUCCAUAGACUUUUUGGGCAUUCCGUCCCUGCAUCAUCGGUUUCAACAUCUGCAAACCUUGUUCAAGUCGAUGGAACUUGGCUGUUAUGGGAAUACAAAGGAUCGUUACUGAUGGCGGUCGCACAAGAUGGAAAUUCUAUAUUUUCCCAAUAGCCUUUGCAUUGGUUGAAGGAGAAACGGCUGCUGCUUGGAGUUCUUCCUUAAAAUCACCGAACGCACGUGACUCCACAAGCUGGCAUUGUGUGAUUUCUGACAGACACGCUUCUAUAGACAGUGCAUACAAUAAUCCAGCAAAUGAUUGGCAUUGACCCCCCGUCUACGCAUGUCUACUGAUCAGGCAUAUUGCUCAAAAUUUUGUGCGGGAGUUCAAAGAUAAUUUCUUGAAGCAACAUUGAUAAACGCGGGUAUGCAUAAACCAACCUGGAUUCCAAUAUUACCGUCGGGAAUAGUGUUGGAAAAUUCUGAUGCAUGAGAGGUGGAUCGAUAAUAUCGACAGAGCGAAGUGGACUAGAUCAUACGGCGAUGGGGUGAGGUGGGCGCCACAUGACAACAAAUCUUGUGGAAUCAAUGAAUUGCGUCUUUAAGGGCAUACGUAACCUCCCGGUAACCGCUUGAUGAGUGCGACCUAUUUUCGGAUGGCCAACUUGUUCGUAACAAGAGGAAGCGCUGCAUGAAGUGUUACAGACGAGUCAAGUUAUAUAGUGAUGCCUGCAUAAAGUUUAUGAGGCAGGAAUCUGCCAAAGCAGCAGCAGCCAUCGGGUUACGGAAUCUCGACGCCAUGGCACACUUUUAGUUUCAAGGAAACAAUUGACCACAACCAGGGGCUGCCCAGACAAGAGUAUAGGUCCUAAUACCAGACCGUUGGUGCGACUGUGGUCAAUUCAGGGCUAUUGAAUGCCUUGUUCCCAUGGUCAUUGCAGCAUGUUCACACAGCCACUUCGAUGCAUUGUCGCUAGUGUCUCCCAUCUACAAGUUGCAACAUUGCUCAAAUGUAUACGACAAUCCCUUUCCGGUGGUAGCAUUGGAGGCAUAUUGGCCAGAGUAUGACAGGGAAAUUGUUUGGCCACAACGAAUCGAUGCGGCGAAUAAAAGUGGUCGCCCAAAUAGCAGGUACAUUAGAACUGAAAUGGACGUUGCAGAAAAAUGCAGAGGAAGUGUAGCAUAUGUAGACAACUAGGGCAUAAUAAGACAAAUGUCCAUAUCGUGGAUCUAGUUCCACAACUUAGUUUUCAUAUUCAUAAAUCUGUGUACCAAUGCUAUUUAUCAUUAAAGUUUACUUUUUAUUCCAAUAGAAGAUGACACUUGAACAACAAACACAACAUCUAACAUUACAACACCAAUUACUAAAACAAAAACAAUACUGGAAAAAAAACAGUACUAAAAACUAGAACAAGUACUAGAAAUAACAAAUACAACAACAACAUGACAAACAACCAUUAAAAUCUAAGAAAUUACAACAGUUAACACUAUGUCGUCUGAUCCAUGCAUCAUUUGGAUGCAAUCAAUGUCGCUUUCAACUUCAACCCACAACGUAUCGUUUCUCCAGUUUCAAAUGAGAACCUUGUUCUAGCUCUGAAUCCUUUUGAUGACUUCACCAGGUUGGUAAUCUCCCUCUAACCAAGACAUCAAGGACCUUUUUAGUUGGUCCAACGAACGGAUGUUCCAAAAUUUCAUCUCCAUUGGGGUUUCAAAGGCGAGAAAUAAACAUGUCCAUCCCUUUUAAGAUUACUGGUUCAGGAUCCGGGCGCCUUGAUGAUGUUCGCUGCCAUGACGACGUCGUGGGAUGCCAUGAACUCAACUUGAUGAAAGUGAUAGGAAAUAGUGGUGAAGAAAAUGCAAGGAAUAACACUUAUUUAUAGGAAAUAUCUGGGUGUACACCAAUCUACUUAACCCUAAUUAGGUCGCACUUGAUUAAUUAGUCUUAUGGGAAUUAGGGUUUGAAUUAGGUCAUAACUACCAAACUCUAAUUAUAACCGAUCAAUAACCCUAAUUAUAAUUGAUAAAUUAACCUUAACAUGAUUAACCCUAAUUCUCCCAAAAAAAUUUAUAAUAAUAUUAAUUACUAUAUAAAUAUAUAUAUUAUAUAUAUAUAUAUAUAUAUAUAUAUAUAUAUAUACUAUAUAUAUAUAUAUUAUAUAUAUAUAUUAUAUAUAUAUAUAUAUCUUGUAAAUAAUUUUAUUUAUAUAUAUGUAUUAAUAUAAAUUAAUAUAAUUUAUAAUAAAUCUAAAUUAAUAAAUUAAAAAAAAAACAUAUUAAAAAAAAAUGAGUGUAGGCGCCACUCCUAGUGGCGACUUGCCCUACCAUUUAAGGGUAGGCGCCAACUAGGGUGGCGCCCAAGUACAAAAAUAGGGCAAAAAAUGCCCAUUUUUGUAUUUUUUUUGAAAAAAUGUGUAUUUUUGAAUUUUUUUUAAAAAAUCUGGAUAUUAAAAAAAAAUCCUUAUUUGCUUGCCAUUGGAGAAUCUUGAUGUUAUCUUAGGGAUAAGCUGGUUGGAGUUCCAUCAUGUUUAUAUCAAUUGUUAUAACAAGUUGGUGUGGUUCCUUACUCCUGGUGAUGAGGAAUAAGUUGGUUUCUUGUCUAGUUAAGAGUUGAAGGAGCUUUUGGAAGAGGAAGCUCAGGUGUUUGCAUUGUUCACGAUGUUAUCUGCUAAAAGUCAGACAGUGAUUGAUGAAUUGCGGGUAGUGCAUGAUUUUUGAGGGGUGUUUCUAGAUGACAUUUCAAAUGUACUACAAGAGAGAGAGAGGUGGAGUUUUCUAUUAAUCUUGUCCUUGGUACCAAACUUGUUUCUAUGGAACUAUACAGGAUGUUGCAUCGGAGUUAGAAGAGUUGAAGAAACAAUUAGAAAAUUUGCUAGAGAAGAGAUUUGUGAGACCAAGUGUGUCGCCUUGGGGAUCUCCAUAGUUGUUGGUAAAGAAGAAAGACGGUAGCAUGAGGUUAUGUGUGGAUUACCAACAAUUGAAUAAAGUGAUGAUUAAGAACAAGUAUCCAUUUUAAAGAAUAGAUGACUUGAUGGAUCAGUUGGUGGGUGCACGCGUGUUUAGAAAAAUUUAUUUGAGGUCAGGUUACCACCAGAACAUAGUAAAGGAUGAAGAUGUGCAGAAGACGGCAUUUAGAACUCAAUGUGGACACUAUGAGUAUUUGGUGAUGUCGUUCGGUAUUUCUAAUGCACCCAAAGUAUUUAUGGAGCACAUGAAUCAUAUCUUUCAUACUUACUUGGAUAUUUUUGUUGUGGCAUUUAUUAAUGACAUUUUGAUCUAUUCUAAAUCAAAAGACAUGCUGAUCAUUUGCGAGUUGUAUUGCAAAUGUUGAAGGAGAAUAAGCUUUAUGCUAAGUUGAUGAAGUGUGAAUUCUGGUUGAAAGAGGUUAGCUUUCUUGGUCAUGUUAUUUCAGGCGGUGGUAUAGUUAUGGAUCCAUCCAAGGUAGAUACAGCUCUGCAAAGGGAGGCUCUGAAGUCGGUGACAAAAUUAGAAGCUUUUUGGGCUUAGAUGGUUAUUACUGCAGGUUUAUUUAAGGAUUUUCCAAUUUGGCACUUCCGUUAACUCAGUUGACCUGCAAAGGUAAACCGUUUAUGUGGAAUGUUAAUUGUGAGAAUAGUUUCAUAGAGCUAAAGAAAAGGUUGACUACAACUCCGAUUUUGCUUUUACAUGAACCAAAUGAAUCGUUUAUGGUGUCGUCGUUGAUGGAUUUAUAUGGUGUUCUAAUGAAAGAUGGCAAGGUUGUGGAUUAUGCUUCACGACAAUUGAGGAUUCAUGAGAUAAACUAUCCUACUCAUGGUUUGGAGUUGGUUGCGGUUGUGUUCAUGUUGAAAAUUUGGAGGCAUUAUCUUUACGGUUCCAAGUUUGAAGUGUUUAGUGAUCAUAAGAGUUUUAAAUACUUGUUUAAACAGAAGGAGUUGAAUAUGAGACAAUGCAUAUGGUUGCAAUUAUUAAAUAUAAUGACUUUGGCUUGAAUUAUCAUUCCGAUAAGGCAAAUGUCGCGGUUGAUGCUUUAAGUCGAAAGUCUUUGCAUAUGUCUGCUAUGAUGGUUAAAGAGUUGGAAAUGAUUGAAUAGUUCAGAGACAUGAGUUUGGUCUGUGAGAUGACACUGCAAAGUGUGAUGUUAGGUAUGCUGAAGAUCAACAAUGAGUUUCUUAAUAACAUUAAAGAGAGUCAGAAGUUGGAUGUGAAUUUGGUGGACUUGGUGGUUGGAAGUAAUCAGACUGAAAGUAAUGAUUUCAAAGUGGAUGAACAAGGUGUGUUGAAGUUCAGAGACAAAAAUUGUAUUCCUGACGAAGCUGAGUUAAAGAAGAUGAUUUUAGAAGAAAGUCAUCGAACUAGCUUGAAUAUUCAUCCAGGAGCUACUAAGAUGUAUCAGGACCUGAAGAAGAUCUUUUGGUGGUCUGGAAUGAAGCGAGAUGUGGCUCAGCUUGUUUAUGCUUGUUUGACUUGUCAACAAUCAAAAGUUGAACAUUAGAAACUUGCAGGAUUGAUGCAACUAUUGGAUAUUCCAGAAUGUAAAUGGGAUAUCAUUUCUAUGGAUUUUGUGACGGGGUUGCCGAAUACUCCGAGAGGGCAUGAUGCCAUUUGGGUAAUUGUUGAUAGACUGAUGAAGUCGGCCCAUUUUAUUUUGAUUAACAUUAGUUUUUCUAUGCAGAAGUUGGCAGAGAUAUAUAUCUGUGUGAUUGUGAAAUUGCAUGGAGUUCUGUUGAGUAUUGUAUCAGAUAGAGGUCUGAGGUUCACUUCUAGAUUUUGGGAGAGUUUGCAAGAUGCUUUGGGUUCAAAGCUGAGGUUGAGUUCAACUUAUCAUCCGUAGACCGAUGGUCAGACAGAGAGGACCAUUCAUUCAUUAGAUGAAUUAUUAAGAGCUUGUGUUCUCGAGCAAGGAGGUGCUUGGGAUGAUCAUUUGUCAUUGAUUGAGUUCACGUAUAAUAACAGUUUUCAUUCUAGUAUUGGAAUGGCAUCUUUUGAAGCCUUGUAUGGUCGAAGGUGCAUAACACCUUUAUGUUGGCAUGAAUUUGGUGAAAGUGUAGUGCUUGGACCUGAGAUUGUCCAACAGACUACUGAGAAGGUGAAGCUGGUUCGGGAGAUGAUGAAAGCUUCACAGAGUAGGCAGAAAAGCUACCAUGAUAAGAGGAAAAAGGAUCUUGAGUUUCAAGAGGGAGACCAUGUAUUCUUGAGAGUCAUUAUGGUGACCGGUGUAGGACGUGCUUUGAAGUCGAGGAAGCUUACUCCUUAAUUUAUUGGUCCAUAUCAGGUAUCUGGGCGAGUUAGACCUAUUGCUUAAAGAUUGGCCUUGCCACCGAAUUUGUCAAAUCUACAUGAUGUGUUCCAUGUUUCACAACUUCUGAAGUAUGUUCCAGAUCCGUCUCAUGUGAUUCUGAUGGAUGAUGUUCAGGUGAGGGAUAACCUUACAGUUGAGGCUCGCCCUAUAAGGAUUGAUGAUCGAGAACUGAAACAGUUGAGAGGCAAAAAGAUAGCUCUCGUGAAGGUAGUGUGGGGAGGCACUGCCGAAGGAAAUAUGUCUUAGGAGUUAGAAAGCAAGAUGCAAGAUUCGUAUCUAGAGUUUUCGCAUCAGGUAAUUUUUUAGGGCGAAAAUGUUCUAAGUUGGGGAGAGUUGUAACGCCCCAAUUUUAUUUAAAUUAUUUUUCAUAAUUUAAUUAUGUGAUAGUUGUGGUUGUGUUAUGUUGAUUGGUGUUUUGAUGUGUUGUGUACCCUUGAUUCGGGGUAGUUGUCUUAGAAAUUAAGGUGUUGGGGAGUGUGUAAGCAAAAUUGUAGAAAGGGUGGUAUGGUGAGUAAACUAAUUAACUAAUUUAGUUAUUAUUUAAUUUGAGUGGAUUAUUAUUAUUAUUACUAUUAUUAUUAUUAAAAAUAGUGAUAAGAUAAUAAGUUAAUAAAAUAAUUAGAGUGAUAAUAGAAAAAUAGAAAAGGCAUUUGGGAUAGAAACACAUAAACACAUAGAAGGUAGCAUUUGGGAAAAGGAGAGAAGAAGAUGAGAAAGGAAAAAAAUAGAAUAGGGCUCAAGGGGAGAAUCAUCAUUAUUGAAGGCCAAAUAAUUUAUUGCUUGGAACUCUAAGGUAAGGGUGGUUUUGAUUAUCUAAGGGUUAACAUGAUGAUGGUGGAUAGAUUAUGCGAUGUAGGUUUUGUGUUUUCUUCUCUAUGUUCAUGAUCAUGGUGAUAUUGUUAAUUGUUGAAUUAUGUGAAUGAUGAAUUGUUGUUGUUAGAAUCAUGAAAUUUGAUUGGAUUGUUUGUUGUCAAUGUUUUGCGAAUUGAUGUUGUUUCGAGUCAGAGUUGGAAUUGAGUUAUGAAUGUUUUCGGGGUAAAUAAGUUGGGGUUUUGAACUUUGAAAAAAUGAUUUUCGUGUUAAAAUAUGGUAUAAACGAUUUGUGAGAAAAUGGGGUUUUGGGAUUAAUUUUAGAUGAUUUUCAUUUUGGAAAUUUUGUAGCAAAGUGCUUAUGCAACAAUGUAAUUGGUUACCAGAAUUGAAGUAACCGGUUACACUGCUUACAAAAUACGCUUCUGGGUAAAAUUUGAAGGGUGUAAUUGGUUACAGGUUUUUCGGUAACCUGUUACCCUGUGUAACAGAGGCCACAUAGGGGCUAGAAUUGAGGGUGUAAUCGGUUACCAGUUUUUGAGUAACUGAUUACCAAGUAUGUGUUGGCAGUGUGGUUGUGCUACUAGAUGUAGUGUAACUGGUUAUUGGUUUUGGUGUAACCGGUUAUACUGGGAGCAUUUUUUUUAAAAACUUUAAAAGUUCAUAAUUUUUGUUCCGAGUGUCCGAUUCGAGUGUCGUUCAAAGCGUCGGAAAGCUGAGAGCGUGUACUGUCAUUUAAAAUUGGUUUCAAUACCUGAGAAUGAAUAUUUUCAUAUGUGAUGGUGUUGAUAUGCAUGGAAAUGUUAUGUGGUGGUGUGACAUAACCUAAAAUGCACUGUUGUUGCUUAUUAUGUUGUAUGUUGAUGUUGUUGAGCUGUAUGACACGUGUUUGAUGCAUGGUGGUCAGUAUUGGCGGUCUACAUUAACUAUGGAGGUGGAUCAUUGUGCAUGAUGAUGGUGUUGCAUGUAUUAUAUAUUGCAUGCAUUCAUGUUGUUGGACAAAUGGUCAGUUGUUGGUGAGCCUCAAAUCCCAUUAUGUGGAUUGGACCGGUAGCUGAUUUCGGAUGUGAUGGAAUCAGUGAGACAUUAUCAAAGAUGAUGGUAAUGAAUUGGUUGCUUUGAUCCUAGGAGGUGAUGAUCUAAUCGGUGAACCUGGGAGUUCAUGUAUUGGUACCACAUGCAUUGAGUCGAGUUAUUGAGUCACAUUGCAUUGUACAUUGGUUGCAUUUUUUAUUAUGUUGGAUGGUUGAUUAUGUUGUUAUUAUGUUGGAUUGUUGUUAUGUUGUUAUUAUGUGUUAAUAGCAGUUGUGAGGAGUAUGUGGAAUUGUGUUGUGGAAUGAUUGAUGUGCAUGUGAUAAUCUGAUGCUCACUUAUUAUCAUGAAUUCCUUUAUAUAGUUAUGAUACCUCACCCAUUCUAUUUGAAUGUUUCCUCCACGUGGGUAACAUGCAGAUAAUCCGCAAUAUGAGCUCGAAUGUGAGUGGAAGAUGAAGUCUUCCAUUUUAUUUUUGUGUCGGCUUCUGCUCUGAUGUGUAACAUUGAGGAAUUGGAACGUUGUGUCUUUCUUUAUGUUUUAACAUUUCUUAUAUGACAUGUUAUGUUGAUGUUGGAUAUGUUGAGUUAAUUGUUUGUUAUUGUUAUUCCGCUGCGAUUUCAUAAAAGUUAACCUUCAGACAUGUGGUUAUUACUACUAUGUUUAUAACUGUAAAGUGUUACAUGUCUUUUCAAUUGAGCAGGUUGAUUGUAUGUUGUAGUGUAGCAUCCUAAAUUGAAUGUUGAUUUGUUUUAUUCUGAUAAAUGUUUUAAAUUUACGCGGGAAAAGUUUAAGGUGUUAUACGAUAGCCAUUAUCUAAUAAGCAAAUCUUAAGUACAGAAUAAAACAGAGCUCGUGAUACCACUUGUUAGACGAUAGACCAAGAUCUAUAGGGGGUGAAUAAGUUACAAGUUAAAAUUUGAACUAAGAUUGGUUUUGAAAAAUUUUAUAGCGCGGAAGCAAGUUUCAAAAAUUUCCUUGAUCAAAAAUCGUCUAAUCGAACCUACUAUCAAAAAGCUUGAAUAUGCAUAUAGAGGUGUCAAUGAAAUAAUAAGCCAUACGUAAUCAACAACAAAUAAUUACAAUUAGUUGAAUACAAUACAAUAGGAAAAGUAUAUCUUUAAUGAUCAAAACACAUAAAAAAUUAAGUCAAGCAAUUUGUCGGACACUUAGUGUGCAAUCAAUAAUGUUUGGAACGUUAUGUAGGGUUUGUUGUUCUUAGAAAUACAAUCACAAUUAAAUGGUUUAUGAUCUACACGACAACACAAAUUUCAAAACGCAUUCAAAAUUACGAUCCAAAUAAUAUUGAUCAAAUGAUUGAAGCAAUCGACAAUUUGUAAACCAUACAAUAAAGAGAGAGAGAGAGAGAGAGAGAGAGAGAGAGAGAGAGAGUACACGAGGAUUUGUUUAGGCAGUUCCACAAUCGACCUCGCUAUGGGUACAUCUACCCUUAAUUUAAAUUUGAAUUGAGAUAUUUUAAUAAAUCUUACUUUGUAAAAUGUGUGUAUACAAGAGAUGAAGAAAUCGAACUUCUACAAGCCCUAAGUUUGAUGUUGACUCUACCACAUCCAAAACCCUUGAUCAAAGAUUGAUAAAAUAACCAAUAAUGUUGCUUCAAUUCACAUGUUCUUGCUACUUCCUUGCAAGGCACUCAUUGUCCUAAGGCUUUCACCUGGUUGAAUUAAUAUCAAGCGCACACUUGUUCCCAAGAUUUUCCAACACGAUCCACCGUCUUACGCUACUCCCUUACAAUGGACCCCUUGUCCCAAGACUUUCACUCGAUCAGAUCCAAAUUGCAUGAUCUUGUUUAAAACCUUCAAACCCUAAACGAUCUUGAAGGAAAACCCCAACUCGGUUUUCUGAUUUGAAUCUCUCAAAGUUCUCAAUCCAAUAUUCUCGGUACAACAAACCUAAUUGGAUGUUAUCAACCCUAAUCUAGAUGGCACCCAAUCAAAAAAUGAUUAUGUGUGGUUUGUUUGUAUGUAUUCAUAGAUGAAGUUGAAGAUGAUGAGAAUGCUUUGAAAUCCUGGAUUCAUGUAGGUUUUACUCACUCUAGAAACCUUACUAUAAAAUAAUGCAUGUAUGAAGUAUUUAUAUGCAUGGGUGAUUUAGGGAAAAAAGGAAUGCAAAUGACUUGAGAAAAAUAUGAAUUUUUGAAAAAAAUACAUCAGAUAGGUUGACCUAUAAAAGUCAUAUGCGACUUGUUCGAUGCAUAGGUCGACCUGUCUAAAGUCAUGCGUCGACCUAUGACUGUUAUGCGCUCCCUAUGUGUCGACCUGAAGAGUCGGCACAUGAUACAUAAGCUACAUGCUUUAAUACUACCGCAUACGCGCCAACAUAUAGAAUGCAUAUGCUGACCUAUAGCCAAGAAUUUUUUUCCAUAUGUCGACCUAUAAUGCUAUUUUUCACAAAAAUUGAUUUUUCAUGUAUGAUACCUUUUCCAAGUUGUUUACAAAUACUUUUAUGCUUCCUAAUGCUAACAUGCACCUAGAGAAUCAAAGGAUACUGUCCAAUAUAACGCUAAAGUAUCCUAGUUUUGACAUCAUACAAAACACAUCUAACGGAAGUUGCAUCCACAAAAUGUUCAUGAUUAGUUGCAAUGAUUUGGAAAAUGUUUCAUGAAUAAGUGAAAUGAAGAGACAUUGUGACGUUUCAUAUUUUUCACAAAGCUUCAGGAUGCAAUCAAUUGCAUAUAUGGAGCAAUCGAUUGUUCCAUUGCAACAUUCAAAAAAUAUGAAAAAUUUACACUAAGAAAUUGAUUAUGGGGGAUGCUCAAUCGAUUAAGGGGUCAAAAACUAAGGCAAAAAUGUGAGCAUACAAUCAAUUUCUUUAAGAGGACAAUCGAUUGGCUCAUGAUUGAAUAACCAACUUUGAAAGUCAGUAGCUACAUGCAAUCAAUUGCACUUCCCGUUCAAUCGAUUGUACCAUUAAUAAAAUUGACUUUUUGACAUUUUAAAGAUAUGCCUUGAAUAAAAAUUAUGCAUAUAUGAUAUGGAAAUUUAAGAAGGGUUUAUAUGAAUGGUUGUGAGCCCCUAAAGCCUAUACAUAAAUCAAUUGCUUAUUGUACCUUAAAAUAUGAUCAAAUAACUAGAAAUCCAUCACUUUGAACAUGAUUAAUCCUUAACUUGAGGCUUAUUCAAUCUUGAUAUAUCUUUUCCUUCUUUGAAUAAAUUUGUCUUUAUGAUAACAUCAUUUAAUCGAAAGCUUGUCUUCACAUGGAAUACAAAAAGGUUUGCCAAAUAUGUCAAAUCACCCACACAUGACAUUCAAGAGUUUCGGUUUCCAAAAUCGUAAUGAUGAUAUAUAUGAAAAGACGCAUGAAGUAUGUUACAUUAAAUGCAUUAUUCCUUAAGAACUAGAACAUUUAUUUUUCAUCCAUUUUAAAAGUGAUUAAAGGGUGAUCGACAUCCAAGACUGAAAUAUCAAACCUUCGCCUCAUUUUAACAUCAGUAAGGGCUUAGGGACAACUAUUUUGGAUCGACAAGAUAAUCAUGAAUCUUUCUAGGCCGAUCAGAUCUACCUCAGUCAAAUACCAGGAAGAAGUCUCACUUCUUCCAGAAUCUUCCCAGUACACGAAAAUUGUCAUCCUUAUGAUCCCAAUAGAUCCCAAAUAUACGAUACAUCCAACAGCUCCUCGCAAAUGGCGACAAGCAAAUAGCUAGUUAUAUAUAUAUAUAUAUAUAUAUAUAUAGAGAGGAGAGAGAGAGAGAGAGAGAGAGAGAGAGAGAGAGAGAGAGAGAGAGAGGGGAGAAGAGAAUCAUGAUCUGUUGACACCAAAUGUAAGUCAAAAGUCUUACACUAAAUCUCAACGUUAAUAUGAAUAAAUCAAACAGUCAUAUAAAUGAUCAUGUAUUUUUUUCAUUUAAUAUGACUAUUUCAUUCAAUCCUAUUAAAAUUGAGAUUUGAUGUAACUCUUUAGACUUGGUGUCAACGGAUUCUGACUCAUAUAUUAUAUAUAUAUAUAUAUAUAUAAUAUAUAUAUAUAUAUAUAAUAUUUAUUAGCACAAAUUGAGAUAACAAGUUUUAAAUUCAAUUUUAUUUCACUAUUCUUCCUCGUAUCCUGACUUGAGCGUUGGAGUGCUAACAUUGCAGGUCCUUCAUUCCACCGCGUCAGAAGCCACGAUUCGUCAUCAUCACCAUUCAUCCUCUCAUUUAUGAUUCCCGGACAUAUAUUAUUUCAAUGUUAUAACUUUUUAUUAGUAUGUUAUAUAUUAUUUGUAAUCAUAAAAAUCAUGUGAUAUAAAGGUACCGCUCAAACUAAAGGGAAAAUUUUAUUGGAUUGCAGUAGACUACGAUGUUGGACGGGACAUAAUGUUGGACGCUUUAGAAUCAACACGAGAAUAAAGUAAGUGUAGCAGAAUGAUGAGUUGUGUUGGAUGUGUGGUAAGACUAGAAAGGACAUGCUUAUAAAUGAAUAUAUUAGAGAGGUUGUUACUUGUUAGGUAACAUCUAUAGUAGAGAGAUGAUGGAAAAUAAAUUAGGUAGUUUGAGCAUGUGAGAGAAAGACAUCUAGAUUUUGUGGUAAGAAGAAUAGAUUAAAUGGAGAGAAGUCAUACAAUUAGAGGAAGAGGAAGAACUCGAAAAACUAUAAAGAAAUCAUUAAAAAAGAUCUCGAUAUUAUAUAUAUAAUAUAAUAUAUAUUAUAUAUAUAUAUAUAUAUAUAUAUAUAUGAUGAAAAUUGAUUCAUAUAACUGACCCCAUUUAGUUAAAUAAGGUUUAAUUAUUGUUGUUGUAUAACCAAUCUUACUCGAUUCAACUCCGAUCAAAUCUAUAAAUUUUAACCUCAUACCUACAUUUGGUUCAAUCUCCUAUCCGAUUUUAAUUAUCUUAAUUUUUAGAGUAUAGUUGUCAAUACACAUUUCAAAAUCCAUUGAGCUAGGGUUUUAAUAAAAAAUGGAAUCAACAUAUAACAUUUAUUAUUUAAAAUAUUAUGCUGACAAAUAGAAUAUUGUUAAUAAAUUCAUUAAAUUCUUUUUUUUAUAGAAAAUAGAACUCAAUACUUGUCAAAGUAAUUAAUAUAAAAUUCUUAUUCAGAAAUUGACUCUUUUAAUUUCUAAAAAAAACCUUAAAACACGUGUUUGUGAUUUCCCUAAAUGCGUUUGCUUUAUUGUCUUUUCUUCAUAAUAAUGCUUUUACUGCAGGCUAUAGCUUAAUUUGACUAUAAUGUAUUGUAAAAAAAACUUAUGAGGUGUUGUUUACUACUUUUUCUAAGUUUCGAUUACUCUUAAAAAAACAUUAUUUAUACAAGGCUUAAUUUAUUAAACGUGUCAUGAAACAAAAUAAAAGGUUGAAAUAUAUUAAAUUCACGUAAUUUCAUAUUAAUUAAACUGGAACAAAUCACACUGUCUUCAAUUAAAUAGAUUAGACUUUCAAUCGAUAAGAAAAAGGCAUAGACCAAAAUAAUAUCAAGUAAAUAAUUGUAUUAAAAGAAGUAAAAGAAUAAAUAAAAUUACCAAAAAAAACUGAAUGACAUGACUUUUUCUUUAAAAUGGCUCCCUCUAUAAUUAAUAGAUUAAAUAAAACAAUUCUUUUUGUGAAUUGCAUUAUAAAAUAUUAGACUACAUUAUCUGAUCUAGUUUCUAAUAUUAGAGAAAAAUUGAUCAAACAUCAACCACACCAUAAUCAUGAUUAGUGACACCGUUAAUCUAGGAUUAAUAACUUUGAACAAGUAAAACAACUAGUGGGGUCCAGUGGGACCCACUGAAGUGGUAAUAUCACAAUAUUAGCAGAAACAGCUGUUCUUAUUAUUCAAACAAAAACGAACUCUCUUCUCUUUGUCAUUUGGCAAGAUCUGAAUUUUUCCCCCAUCUUUACAGAGAGAGAGAAAGGUGUUGUUUGGUUGGUUCAAUUCUACUCUGAUCUUCAACUUUCACUCUUUUUCUUCAGAUCUUUCACUUCAGGUAUUAUUAUUAUUCCUUUUCGAUUGGAUUGAACCCUCAAUUUUCUAAUGUAUGUAUAAUUUGUUGCUAUUAUUUGAAUUUUCCCACUCUUUUGUGAAAUUUAACCGGUUGAAUUGCAUUUUUUGUGUGAAAAUGUGAAACGGAAGAUGAAUUUAUUAUUUUCUUAUUUGGAAAGCCCUUGUUUACUUCUUCUUUUAUUUUCCAAAUGUGCUUUUUUUUCUCCAGUUUAUGGGGUAUUUAUUAUAUAGAAUUAAUUAAUUAAUUAUUUAAUUGACAGUGAUUUGAUUGUAACUGGGGAAGGAUUAGGAGUUUCAACCAGUGUCAAUGGCUUAUUACUUGUUAGCAUAAAACUGUGUAAAUUUGUUUUACUGUAUUUCCUGAUUAUUGCUCAUUUCUGCAACAAAGAAUGAUUUAUUUUGGAUGUUUCUGCUUCAGUACAGAUUAUUUCCUUUUCGGUGUCGAUUUCGCUAGGAUAUUAAUUAUAUAUAAGCUAAUUUUAAUUUUUAAAAUUUUUAUAAAAGAUUUAGAUAGUUAGAUUUCAGAUCUUCAAUUUUUUCUUUCUUUUUAUGAAAUAAAGGAUCAAAUUAAGGAAUGCCAAGAAGAGAAUGGGGAAAAAGGGAAAUUGGUUUUCUACAGUGAAGAAAGCUCUCAGCCCUGAUUCAAAGGUAACAAAAGACCAAAAAUUAUGUAAAACUUAGCUCAAUUUUUUCUGUGAUUUUUCUUAUAAUUUUACAAUUUUUUGUUGUUGUAGAAAUCAAGUAAAUCAAAGAAGAAAUGGUUUGGGAAGCAAAAACUGCAGACUUCGGACCCUUCCGUAGAAGAUACGGCACCGCCGCUUCCUCCACCGGAAGAUGUUAAAUUACCUGAUAUUGAAAACCAAAACAAUCACUAUCAUGUUCCUGAAAUUACAACUGCCGUGGUUAGUCAGGAACCCGGUCCUUCUGUUCCGGCACCAGUUGUUAGGAAUGAAGUUUCCGUGGUUGCUCGUUAUGCUGGUAAACCAAAAGAUGAAGUGGCGGCAAUCAAGAUUCAAACAGCUUUUCGUGGAUACUUGGUAUGCGUUGUAAUCUUUUUGUCAUUUUGAAAUUCCUGCAAAAGAAAAUUAUUUAUUUGAAAUACAUUUCGAACUAAACUUUCUUUUAAAAUCAUUUAGGCACGAAGAGCGUUGCGGGCUUUAAGAGGGUUGGUCAGAUUGAAAACAUUGAUGGAAGGGCCGAUUGUAAAACGCCAAGCCAUGAGUACGCUCCGCUCAAUGCAGACGUUAGCUCGUGUGCAAUCUCAGAUUCGUUCCAGGAGGGUCAGAAUGUUAGAGGAGAAUCAGGCUUUGCAAAGACAGCUCUUACAAAAGCAUGUAAGAGAGCUCGAGACCCUGCGGGUAUGUGUUGCUUUUCCUUAAUUUUAUUUUUUUGAAAGGAUAAUAAUCUCGACAUUGUGCCAACGCGUAUUUGACUGUGUUUGUAACGGUUUUAACUUGUUCCAAAUCUUGAUGAUAGAUUGGAGAAGAAUGGGAUGAUAGCCUACAAUCAAAAGAACAAAUUGAAGCCAAAUUAAUGAGCAAGUACGAGGCUACUAUGAGAAGAGAAAGAGCAAUGGCUUAUGCAUUCACUCAUCAGGUUUUCUAAUUCUCUUGUUAACUUAGAUAUCUGAGGAAAUAGAUGAAAAAGUUUAGAUGAAACGGAAUAUCACAUAAUUUCAAGAAUUAAAAAAUGAGAAUCCAAGCUUUCAUAUAUGCUGUAUAAUAUACUGGACCUAAUCUAAAUCGAGUAAUUCUCAUUCGAGAGUAAUGUAAGACAUGUCAACCAUUAAUGAAAAAAAAAUCAACUAUUGAUAUUGCAUACCAAAUUAUAGAUAUGUUAAAAUGUCAACUGGCGAUUUUCACAUCAACGGUUAAGAUGUCUAUCAUUUAUACUGAAAGUUUGCUUAGUUUGAGAAUAUUUUAAAAUUUCUUCUUUUUUCUAAUAAUUACAAAAUUUACACUUUUUUGUUAUUUGGUUUCCUAUUCUUGAAGUUCUAUAUAGAAGAGAAUGAAAACAAGGGGGAAAGUACUCUUUCCUAUACUAAUAUUUAGAAGCAAUAAAUGAAAAUGAUGAGUUUUUGUAACUAUAUUUAGAAACAUGAAAUGAAAAUAGAAAAUAUUCUCACUAACCGAACACGUGUAACUAUAUUAUUGAACGAAUAGAAAUAUCUGCCUAUGAUUUGAUUUACAACUGCAAGUGUAAUACUAUGACAGCAAAACGGGAAGAGCUCGUCUAGACCUAUGAAUCCAAUGUUCGUGGAUCCAACCAAUCCUACGUGGGGCUGGAGCUGGCUUGAACGAUGGAUGGCUGCGCGGCCUUGGGAGAGCCGUGGCCUAAUGGAUAAAGAACUGAAUGACCAUUCAUCUGUUAAAAGUUCGAGUCGCAGUAUUACAGGUGGAGAAAUCAGCAAAUCAUUUGCCCGUUUCCAGCUGAAUUCCGAAAUACAUUCUCCCGCAGCCAGCCAAAUUCCAGGCUCGCCGAGCUUUCAGUCAAAUUCAACAACACCUAAGCCAGCUUCUGCAGCAGUUGCGAGGAAACUGAAGAAGGCAAGUCCAAAGGGAAGCUGGGUUAUGGAAGAAGACUCCAAAAGCAUGGCCAGCGUACAGUCAGAUCGGUUCCGUAGACACUCUAUCGCCGGAUCAUCAGUUAGGGAUGACGAGAGUCUUGCUAGCUCUCCAUCAGUUCCGAGCUAUAUGGUGCCGACUCAAUCUGCGAAAGCUAGGUCUAGGACACAAAGUCAGAGUCCAUUAGCUAAAGAAAACGGCAAACAAGAGAAGGGGUCCUUUGGGACCGCAAAGAAGCGUCUUUCUUUCCCGGCUUCUCCCGCCAGGCCAAGGCGUCAUUCAGGUCCACCAAAGGUAGAAAUCGCCGUAAAUGCAGAGGUCAGUGUGGACAAUGGUGUGGCCAGUUGAUUAAAUAAUAAUCAGAGUGAAAGGAUUGAAAUCAUUAAAGUAGGAUUGAAGAUAUAUCAGUGAAGAAAAUAAAAACAAAAGUUCAUUUACAUUGAGUGUUCUUUAAAUUUAUUUAUUUGUCCUAUUUUUAUGUGUAUCCUAACAUUUUAUGUAGGCUUUUGAUUUGGGGUGAAAAUUGUUUUACUUACCAUAUAUUCAUCUAUUUGUAUUUUUAUUUACAUUCUCUAUCAUUUACACUGAGGGGAAGAAAUUUGGUUUAUGAUGAUCUUGUGACAGAAAAUGAGUCCACUUUCUUUGUUUUAUGUUCACCAUAAACUGAAAUUUAAAGCUCCUGAUUCUUAAUGUAAUAUAAGUACAAUUUUGUUUUUUUUUUACUAAUAAUUGAUUCUGGUCCUGUUGUUUAUCUUA